CAAAAACGAAACAGAUGACUGGAGCGGUGCGAGGAGUGGAAUCUGCCAGAGAGGUGAGCUCAAAAAGAUAAUCAGAGAUGGACUCUGUUUGAAGUGAUAAACCAGCAGGAGGUGAGGAGGACAUGCCAGAAACAAGAAUCCUGGUUUUUAUCCCGAAAGUGUCUGGAAAAAUCGAGGCUGGAGACAGCUGAGAGAGGUGCAAAGACGACAGUAUAUUCAUGACAAUUGACAGUCGCUGUCUUUGGAUUAACCACGUAGGUUAAAGUGGAAAACAUUAUUGCUUGUUGGGCAGCAUUUUGAGAUACUCAUGAGAUUCCACCUGGACUAAAAAGUGGUAUGGAGCAGCCAAUUUACGCUUAAAUUUGGGGGGCAUCUGAAAGGGAAAAGCACAGUCAAUUACCACCACACUCUGCGAAGUCCAAAAUGUGCAGUUUUCAUGCAACUGUUAAGUUCUAUGUAAUGUUAAUCUCACUAGCUACCAUUUUGUUGGCUAAUGACCAAUAACCACCACACUGAGCAAAGUCAGCAAUGUCCAGUUUUCGUGCAGCAGUGUAGCUCUUUCAACAAUCAUCUGAUUUUACCAAGUAAAGGUAUAAAAUCCAAAUGCCGGUUCAUAGUCCAGUUAAUAGUUGUGAAGUUUAUGCCUAACUCUCUCCACACACCAAGCGUGAGUGAAAUCUUUCACGCAAAUGAAUCACGUUAAGUCAAUGCAAAGACACGAUUCAACACUUGUACUACUCAGACGUCACUAAGGAUGUGAAUUGGGCAUGAGCUGAAAAUGACUCAACUUGAGCAGAUAUUGGUAAGAAAACGUAAGGUUGUUUACUGGUGUCUAAAAUGGAGGACAAACUGAUCGUGUUGGUGUGUAAAACCAGGGAUUAAGUUAGCGAGAUUAGUUGUGAGGAAUACUAAGUAUGUGAUUUGAAUUUAAGAUGAAAACAGGCAUGCUAGAAAUGAGACAUUAGAAAAAGUUGGACAAAAGUGAACUUAGAGGUUCAAGAAAGACUCUCAAAACUUGCAGAAGAACUUCUUUUUGAUGUGCCAGAGCACGGGUUAAAACUUAAUUUAGACUAGGACUUGGACUUUAUUGUCCCCAUGGGAAAAUUCUUUUCACAGCACUGUCUCCAUUCCACAAAAUCGAAGUAAUGCUUAAGUAACUUUUCCCACCAAAAUCCUUAUGGAUAAAGCUUUGAAAUCCAUCUGUCUCUAAAGAAAAAACAGGCAACACUGCCUACUAGAAACAUCUGAAGCUCUGUCAGUGUUUAGCAAACAAUAAAAAUGCAUUUGGAUUAAAUUUACUCAAAGCUUUUGUGUUUAAACAUCACUGACAGUUUUUUGUUUUUCAAGGAGGAGGCGAGUAAUGAAACAGAAAUCAGAUUUAGAUCCAGACGGAGCACCUGCACUUGAAAAAGAAGUGCUGAAUGAAAGAGGAGCGAAAAGGGAAUCGGUGAAGUAUCAGGAAAAGGUCUGGAAACUCAAGGUUUCAUAAUUCAGGGAUUCAAGGCUGUGGAGAGAUGUUUUAUAUGUAGAAAAGAAUGAACUUCUUAAAAGUUUCCCUACAGUUCACUUUGAGAUAUUCAAUCUGAGGUAGACGGAUUAAAAAGGAAUAAAAUUUCACCGUCACGUUUGUCACAGACUCAAAAGUUCACCUGGUCAAUGCAGAGUUCAGCCUUUAUGUACACCCAUCCUGCCCGGUGAGACGGAAAAUGAGGAAUGAUCGUUUUUCACUGCCCUGCUGAAGAGGAAAGAGGGCAAUAAGACGAGGGAGGGAGCUGCAGGAAACGCCUGACCGCAGCCAUGUCCUCCCCCUGAUUUAUCCCCCUCUCCUGUCUGCAGAGCUAUUACGG